rnacentral:sRNA from 1 species
UUUUUUUUUGAAUAUUCGGAAGUUUAAUCCCGAAGAUACAACGACUUCCAAAGAGAUGGGAUUCACAUCAGGUUAAUUGUUUUUUUGGAAAAUAGAUGUCCUCCAAUGGACGUUCGAACCCAAUACCUCUACUUAGAAGAUUUAGAAAGGAUAAAACAAGGGUAUUAUCAAUCUGUAUACAUGAAAGAUUGCAAAAUUUAGUGUCAGAAAAAAAAACUGUUCAACAUUCUCUCUCCAUCAUGAAAAUACCUUUAUACCCCUAUAUCACAUUUGCUCUUGACGUUAAAUAUUUUGUUACCUUUUAAUAAUAAUGUUAUCAUCUUCCCAUAAUUAUACAAUCUUUGAAAUCAAAUCUGCAUAAUUAUAAUAAUCUUAUUGUAUA